AUUGAACGCUGGCGGCAGGCCUAACACAUGCAAGUCGAACGAGUGGCGGACGGGUGAGUAAUGUCUGGGCAACUGCCUGAUGGAGGGGGAUAACUACUGGAAACGGUAGCUAAUACCGCAUACCAUCGGAUGUGCCCAGAUGGGAUUAGCUAGUAGGUGGGGUACAGGCUCACCUAGGCGACGAUCCCUAGCUGGUCUGAGAGGAUGACCAGCCCACCGGGAACUGAGACACGGUCCAGACGCCUACGGGAGGCAGCAGUGGGGAAUAUUGCACAAUGGGGGCAAGCCUGAUGCAGCCAUGCCGCGUGUAUGAAGAAGGCCUUCGGGUUGUAAAGUACUGUCAGCGGGGAGGCGUUACCCGCAGAAGAAGCGCCGGCUAACUCCGUGCCAGCAGCCGCGGUAAUUC
rnacentral:rRNA from 1 species